UGUCUCACCUUGUUAACUAUCAGCCAUUUUGUAUUUUUGCACUCCGGUUGGGUUGACCUUUGCGAUCGCCCCAAAUGUGGGCGAUUCGGGUGCGCUAUUUCUAAGUGUGGGGGUCUGCGUUCGCGCUCACCCCGU
rnacentral:snRNA from 1 species